CCCCAGGGCCAGUCUUUGUACUAGACUGGCUUCCUGUGUGUUCUUGCAGCAGUCCCUGAGUAAUCUCCUGGCUUCCUCACCGCCUGCUGCUGUCAAUAACUAGAGUGGCCAUAAAAUUUAUCAUCCAAACUGGGACACUUGUGAAUGUAAAGUGGGUGCUAUGAAGUAUUACAGUAUGACACCAGAUAUAAGCUGGGACUACCCCAGGAAAACCAGGACAUAUGGUCACUCUAAUGACGACUUCUCUGGCCAAGGAGUUCUCUUUCUUAAAACUAACUGAAGAAUCAUGGUCAUCACACCAUUUUUUUGCUGCCCCCACAAAAAUGCAGCUCCACGGUUGUCUUGGAAACCAACAGUUCACAAUUACAGUGAAAACCCACCGCCUGGCAGCUACUAGAGGGGCAGAAUGGAGCUGGAGCUCCUUCAAAGCUCACUCAUAAAGAAUUGUCAUAAUCUGAUCUACCUGGUGGAUCCUGGGAGAUCUCACUUGCGAGGUUGGUUUUAUUUGACUGACUCAGGGUUCAUCUAAUGCCAAAAACCUUUUCCCCAAGACAA